rnacentral:tRNA from 1 species
AGAAAUGUGGCUUAGUGGUUAGGGCAUUCGGCUCACAAUCGUAAGUUCAUAAGUUCUUUGAGCAAGACAUUUUAUUUCUU